UCCCUGGUGGCUCAGAGGUUAAAGCGUCUGCCUGGAAUGCAGGAGAGCCAGGUUCGAUCCCUGGGUCAGGAAG
rnacentral:tRNA from 1 species